CAGCAGUNGGGAAUNUUGAACAUUGGGGGGCNGCCNUGAUCCAUCCAUCCCGCGUGAUUGAUGAAGGCCAAGGCUUUUAAAGCUUCUUUUGUCUGUGAAGAUAAUAACAAUACCGGAGAAAAGCACCGGCUCCUUCGUCCCAGCAGCCGCGGUAAUACGAAGGGGGNCUAGCGUUGCUCGGAAUCACUGGGCGUAAAGGGUACGUAGGCGGGUUUUUAAGUCAGGGUGAAAUCCUGGAGCUCAACUCCAGACCUGCCUUUGAUAUUGAAGAUCUUGAGUCCGGGAGAGGUGAGUGGAGCUGCGAGUGUAGAGGGAAAUUCGUAGAUAUUCGCAAGAGCACCAGUGCGAAGGCGGCUCCCUGCCCCGGUACUGACUCUGAGGCACGAAAGCGUGGGGAGCAAACAGGAUUAGAUACCCUGGUAGUCCACACCGUAAACGAUGAAUGCCAACCGUUAGUGGGUUUAGUCGUUUAGUGGCGCAGCUAACACUUUAAGCAUUCCGCCUGGGGAGUACGGUCGCAAGAUUAAAACUCAAAGGAAUUGACGGGGGCGCGCACAAGCGGUGAAGCAUGUGGUUUAAUUCGACGCAACGCGCAGAACCUUACCAGCCCUU
rnacentral:rRNA from 1 species